rnacentral:rRNA from 1 species
AUUGAACGCUGGCGGCAGGCCUAACACAUGCAAGUCGAGCGAGCGGCGGACGGGUGAGGACGGGAGGGGGACUGCCCGAUAGCGGGGGAUAACAGCGGGAAACGGUGGCUAAUCAGGCAAAAAGGCGGCUAACCCAUAUGGGAUUUGCUAGUAGGUAAGGUAAUGGCUUACCUGGGCGACGAUCCCUAGCUGGUCUGAGAGGAUGAUCAGCCACACUGGGACGUAGACACGGCCCAGACUCCUACGGAGGCAGCAGUGGGGAAUAUUGCACAAUGGUCGAAAGUCUGAUGCAGCCAUGCCGCGUGUAUGAAGAAGGCUCUCGGGUUGUAAAGUACUUUCAGUCGGGAGGCGUUACCGACAGAAGAAGCACCGGCUAACUACGUGCCAGCCGCCGCGGUAAUUC